GGAGCAUCCACAUAAUCUCAGCAAACAUAGCCUGUAGGAUUGGGCCAAUUAAAAAAAAAAAGAGCAUCCUUUACGUCAACUGUCAUUUUAAUGACAUUGACAGGACAGUAUCCACUCAUUCAUUCGCUGAUUUUGCUCGCUCAUUCAAUCAAUCAUUCAUUCACUCAAUUCUUUUCGAAAUUCCGAGAAAAAAAUCUUGAUUCCGAAAUAUUCGGAAAUAAAAGCAAACAAAUAAUGGCCAUUUUACCGUAUUUACAUUGUUUACCGUAUAAACAAGAUGGUUUCUUAUUAUCACCAAAUGCAUCGUGACUGGUUGCUCGUCCACCAAGUCCAGGGUUUUUUCUCUAGCACGUGAUGAAGCAUUGCAGGCUCUAAGGAUACAGUACCUCCUGCCUGCAAAUCCUUUAUCAGGAACUAUGACAAAGGAGCAACUUCGUCAAAGAAAGGUCUGCCAAUCACAUUUUGAGGAUAAAUAAAUCUAAAACAAUCUAUUGGUUAUGACAAUGAUGAAUGGAUGUCCUAUUUUUUAUUUAUCCAUGAAGAAAAUAAUAACAUCUCGGCGACCAUCCAAGCUGUUGCUGAUCAGGUCAUCCAGUAAGUUAAACUGCUAAUAGAGAUAACUUCAAUUCAAUGUUGUUGCCAGAUAAUGCUGUGAGUGAAGAAACUAUAUCCUGCCAUCUACAUCAGAGCCACAUCUGUCAUUAUGGAUAAUAUUAUUGCUGCGUCCUAAGGUUCAGCUUGCAAAUAAACCCAUCAAGCAGAGGCGGUACACACAAACAAAAGGUGGACUCUUUGGUUUUUUUAAAACGGAGCCCGAAAGCGUAUGAGCUAUUGCGCCACAUAUUUAUAUUGCCUAGUCAACGAUCAAGAAAAUGAAGGUAUUGAGUGAAAAAACUGCCGCAAUGAUACAGCCCCAAAUUUGAUUCCGGCCCAGUGUAUAGUUUUUUUAACUAAAGUUUUUUGUUAUUUUUGCCUCAAGAAUGUACUUAUUGUGAAUUUAUUUGUUAAUGGCUGUAUAGUUUUACUUGAGUCAAAGAAAAUCGUAGUUGUUGUAUAAAAAAAUAAUUUAUAAAUCUAUUAGGGUACAUUUUACUGUCGUCUUUUUUUUCUUAGAAACUUGCAGUAGAUUAUUCACUUUUUUGGAAACUGAUAAUUACUUGUUAAUACCAUAAUUUAUUAUGGAAAAUUGUACUGUUAAGUAGGUAAUUUUUUUUCAUUACCUUAUAGUAGAUAAUGUCUUUUGUUGAUGGCUGUAUAGUUUUACGCAAGUUAAAGAAAAUCGUAGUAUAUUUUUUUCUACACAAAUUUUAGUUAUAAGAUGACAUAUAUGAUUGUUUGUUUGUUUGUAUUGAAGAGGCUCCGAAACUAAGUACUGGACCAAUUUGAAAAAUUAUUUCACAAUUAUUAGAAUCCUUUAUUUUCCCUAAUGAAGAUAGGCUAUAACCGGAUUUUUACAGGCGGUACGAAGUUCGCCGGGUCAGCUAGUUUCUUAUAAACAUGCAAAUACGGUAAAAAUGAUUCAUUUUGUUAAUGGCUGUCUAGUGUUACGCAAUUACAGGUAAUCAUCAUUUUUAUUGUAAACAGAAUUAGGUACCAUUUAUUUAUAACUAGCUUUUGCCCGCGGCUUCACCCGCGUGAAAUUUAGUGCCACAGAUUGGCAUAAAUUAUACCCUAUAUGUUAAUCUAGAUUACAAAUAAUAAUACUGUAAAGGUUCAACCAAAUCCGUUCAGUAGUUUUUGCGUGAAAGAGUAACAAACAUCUACACAAACUUUCACCUUUAUAAUAUUAGUAGGAUUUAUAGUCAGCGACAAUAGAAAUGUUCGCUCGCUUGAAAUUUUGUAAACAAUUAUUGCAAAAAGUUAAUAUUAAUUUAUAUUAUUCUGUUCUGUUGGCUUCAAUGGUGGGUAACCUAUUAAUUUCAAUAAGUUAAACUCUAGGUAAAAUUGACAUUUAGUAUGGAAAUGUAAUUUUAAACCAGUGUUCAUCCCUUUCAUAGAGGAGGUUUAAUUCUCUAAGGUUCAUCCCGGGCUUAAUUUUUUUUGUAUAAUGGGUUUUAUGACUGAAAUUGACUCAAACAGAGAUAAAAUAACUAAGAGUCUUUAACAUUUACUUACUUGGCAAUUAAAGAUAGAUUUACUCAAAUCCUACUUCGUACUAUGUAAUAUUAUAAAUGCGAAAGUUUGUAUGGACGUCUGGAAUCUGAAUGUUAACAGGUUUGUUACUUUUUCACGCAAAAACUACUGAACGGAUUUUGAUGAAACUGCAGUAUUAUACUUUAUAACCCAGAAUAUCUUUGAAUGCAGUUCCCUUUCUUUACAAAAAUAAAGGAAUGUUUCCUUUGAGUAAAAUUUUCUAUCUACAAAGUUCCACCCUGUAUAAUUUAUGACGAUCUUUGACAAACUAAAUUUCACGCGUGUGAAGCCGCAAGCAGCAGCUAGUUACUAAAUAUUAUGUUCAUAAAUAGUUCAGUCUCAAUGUUAUUGAUGAAAAUAAAGCCCAACUAGACUUUAUUUUCUAUUGGCGCGGUAGGUUUUCUUUUAUUUUUCUUAAAAACCUACAGUUGAUGAUUCUGUGAAUUAAUGACUGUAUAGUUUUACUUACUAAUAGUAUUUCAUAGUUUCCUAAGUUUAUGGUGCUUACUUAUAAUUAUCGAGUUCAGCGGAUGAUUUUUUAUUCCAUUAUUAUUUUGUAAUUUUCCUUACGGAAUAAGAAAUCAUCCGCUUGGUAUAUUAUCUUCGAACGUGUAGAUAAUUCUAAGAUGUACUUCAUGUUCAGACUCAAGUGCUCAAAAGAUAGGACCACCUUUGUAAUUUUGUUGAUAGUUGUAUGCAUUAGUUUUUAAGUUGUAUUU